GAUGAACGCUGGCGGCGUGCCUAAUACAUGCAAGUCGAACGCUGGAAAUCUAGCUUGCUAGAUUGAAGGAGUGGCGAACGGGUGAGUAAUACAUAAGCAACCUACCCACGAAGACUGGGAUAAUCUCUGGAAACGGGGACUAAUACCGGAUAGGUAAUCGGAAGGCAUCUUCUGAUUAUUAAAGGUUAAAAACACUGGUGGAUGGGCUUAUGGCGCAUUAGUUAGUUGGUGAGGUAACGGCCCACCAAGACGAUGAUGCGUAGCCGGCCUGAGAGGGUGAACGGCGACAUUGGGACUGAGAAAAGGCCCAGACACAUACGGGAGGCAGCAGUAGGGAAUGUUCGGGAAUGGGGGAAACCCUGACCGAGCAACGCCGCGUGAGUGAUGACGGCCUUCGGGGUGUAAAGCUCUGUUGUAAGGGAAGAACGGUAGAUAGAGAAUAUCUAAAUGACGGUACCUUACCAGAAAGCCACGGCUAACUACGUG
rnacentral:rRNA from 1 species